UACAGAGGUCCCAAGCGUUGUUCGGAUUCACUGGGCGUAAAGGGUGCGUAGGUGGUGGGGUAAGUCGGAUGUGAAAUCUCCAAGCUCAACUUGGAAACUGCAUUGGAAACUACCUUGCUAGAGGAUUUGAGGGGGGGAUUGGAAUACUUGGUGUAGCAGUGAAAUGCGUAGAUAUCAGGAGGAACACCGAUGGCGAAGGCAGAUCUCUGGGCCGUAACUGACGCUGAGGAGCGAAAGCAUGGGGAGCGAACAGG
rnacentral:rRNA from 1 species